rnacentral:misc_RNA from 1 species
GCUGGGACGAAUAUGGACUUUGGAUCCUUUCUCUACCUUCAAUUUCUGACUUCUAUUUCUCCCAAAGGCUGUCAAACAUUAAGUUCUUGAAUCGUGACAUAGGCUACUGCACAAAUGUGAACCAUACAUAGCUUAAAUUUAAAGUUAAAACUGAAAAAUCAUGAUUCAUCAAGGUCAAUAUUGUUAGAGUGACUUGCAGUCUGCUACAACUUCAAUGUUGACUUCAUGUAUCUUAAAGCAGAUCGUAGCAUCGCUCUAGCUUUCCUAUCUGGGAUGCAUCCAGACAACAACAUUUCUUCAUAAACAGCUGGAACCCUUUCAAACUUCUCCACACGUAUCAAGGUUUUCAUGAGAGUGGUGUAAGUAACAACAUCCGGCUUCAUAUCAUUUUCUUUCAUAUACUUCAAUACAGCAAAAGCUUCAGCAUCUCUCCGAUCCUCACCAAAUGCAUUAAUUAGUGAAUUGAGAGCUAACAGGCUGGGCUUUAGACCAUCACCCUUCAUAAUCCUAAAGGCAUUUACUGCUUGUUCAGACAAUCCCCUCUGUGCAUAGGCAUUGAUCAAGGCAUUAUACAUGGUUGAGGAUGGCUUUAAUCCUGCAGACUUCAUUACCUCCAAGCACUCAAUAGCAUCAUUGAACCUUCCUGACUGUCCAUAAAUAUUUAUUAGAGUGGUAUAUGUAACAACGUUGGGAAGUAAGCCCUGACUCUGCAUUUUACUCAAAAGGCCCUUCACCUCCUCCCAUUUUUCCAGCUCACCGAAAGAAUUAAUCAUUAUAUUGUAUGUGGUGGUGCAGGGAGAACAUCCACUUUCCUGCAUCACCUCAAACAACUCCUCCGCCUUAUUGUGAUGGCCAUGUUUGCUAUGGCAGUCUAUAAGUGUGUUCCAUGUAACAGUAUCAGGUUCAAUUUCCUCCAACUUCAUCCUUUCAAAGGUAGACAUUGCAUGAUCCAAACAAUUGUACUUCCCAAAAGUAUCAAUCAUUAUGUUAUAGAACUGCCUAUCAGGAUUGACCCCACUAUUCUUCAUUUCUUUAAGCACCUGAAAUGAUCUCUGCCACUCUCCCCUAUCACGAUAACUAGCUAAGAUCCUACUAAACACAAAUGAAUUUGGCUGAACAUUAUUAGCUUCCAUUUCUUUCAACACAAUUCUUGCACUUUCCCACCUACCUGCAUUUCCAUAAGCAUCAAUAAGCAAGCUGUACGUAUGUUCAUCUGGUGCGACCCCACUCCUCUCCAUCUCCGACACAAUAUACUCAGCAUCCUUCAAAGAUCCAGUUUUAACAUACCCUUUUAAAAGGGAAUUAAACGCCCUCGUCCUUGGCUUUAACCCGCCUUCUUUCAACUCCUCAAAUAUAGCCUCAGCUUCGUCAGUCCUGCCUGAAUUACCCAAUUCAGAUAUCAAGUUAACAACAGUGGCUAUUUUAGGGCUCAAUCCAUUACCUUGAACAACACUCAUGAAACCUAAAGCUGUAUCAACAUCACCAGCUUUAGCGAAACCCACAAUCAUAUCAUUCAACAAUUGGCCAUCAAGUUCAAUCAUAUCG